rnacentral:tRNA from 3 species
GCCGAAGUAGCUCAGUGGUAGAGCAACGCUUUCGUAAAGCGUGGGUCGCGAGUUCGACUCUCGCCUUCGGCUCCG